AAGGGACAUCAGUACAGGUGGUGCAUGGCUGUCGUCAGCUCGUGUCGUGAGAUGUUGGGUUAAGUCCCGCAACGAGCGCAACCCUUAUUCUUAGUUGUUUCCCUUUGGGAUUACCCUCUAAGAAGACUGCCUCGGAUAACGGGGGAGGAAGGUGGGGAUGACGUCAAGUCCGCAUGCUCCUUACGUCUAGGGCUACACACGUCCUACAAUGGGGUCGACAAUGGGAUGCAAUAUCGCAAGAUGGAGCCAAUCCCCAAACGGCCUCUCAGUUCGGAUUGUAGUCUGCAACUCGACUACAUGAAGUUGGAAUCGCUAGUAAUGGCAGAUCAGCAUGCUGCCGUGAAUACGUUCCCGGGUCUU
rnacentral:rRNA from 1 species